GACGAACGCUGGCGGCGUGCCUAAUACAUGCAAGUAGAACGCAGUUGCGAACGGGUGAGUAACGCGUAGGUAACUGCCUCAUAGCGGGGGAUAACACUUGGAAACGAUAGCUAAUACCGCAUACUGUGAGAUGGACCUGCGUUGUAUUAGCUAGUUGGGGAGGUAACGGCUCACCAAGGCGACGAUACAUAGCCGACCUUAGAGGCAGGACGGCCACACUGGUAUUGAGACACGGCCCAGACUCCUGCGGGAGGCAGCAGGAGGGAAUCUUCGGAAAUGGGCGGAAGGCUGACCGAGCAAAGCCUGGUGGUUGAAGAAGGGUUUCGGGUCGUAAAGCUCUGUUGUUAGAGAAGCGGUAACUACCCAGAAAGGGACGGCUAACUACGUGCCAGCAGCCGCGGUAAUAC
rnacentral:rRNA from 1 species